rfam:Trichobilharzia regenti genome assembly, scaffold: TRE_scaffold0000105
GUACUGAUGAACAGUCCCAAACCAGGACGAAACAGGUGUCCAGUAU